UUGCACAAUGGGCGCAAGCCUGAUGCAGCCAUGCCGCGUGUGUGAAGAAGGCCUUCGGGUUGUAAAGCACUUUCAGUCAGGAGGAAAGGGUGUGAGUUAAUACCUCACAUCUGUGACGUUACUGACAGAAGAAGCACCGGCUAACUCCGUGCCAGCAGCCGCGGUAAUACGGAGGGUGCGAGCGUUAAUCGGAAUUACUGGGCGUAAAGCGUACGCAGGCGGUUUGUUAAGCGAGAUGUGAAAGCCCCGGGCUCAACCUGGGAACUGCAUUUCGAACUGGCAAACUAGAGUGUGAUAGAGGGUGGUAGAAUUUCAGGUGUAGCGGUGAAAUGCGUAGAGAUCUGAAGGAAUACCGAUGGCGAAGGCAGCCACCUGGGUCAACACUGACGCUCAUGUACGAAAGCGUGGGGAGCAAACGGGAUUAGAUACCCCGGUAGUCCACGCCGUAAACGAUGUCUACUAGAAGCUCGGAGCCUCGGUUCUGUUUUUCAAAGCUAACGCAUUAAGUAGACCGCCUGGGGAGUACGGCCGCAAGGUUAAAACUCAAAUGAAUUGACGGGGGCCCGCACAAGCGGUGGAGCAUGUGGUUUAAUUCGAUGCAACGCGAAGAACCUUACCUACACUUGACAUACAGAGAACUUACCAGAGAUGGUUUGGUGCCUUCGGGAACUCUGAUACAGGUGCUGCAUGGCUGUCGUCAGCUCGUGUUGUGAGAUGUUGGGUUAAGUCCCGCAACGAGCGCAACCCCUAUCCUUAGUUGCUAGCAGGUAAUGCUGAGAACUCUAAGGAGACUGCCGGUGAUAAACCGGAGGAAGGUGGGGACGACGUCAAGUCAUCAUGGCCCUUACGUGUAGGGCUACACACGUGCUACAAUGGCGCAUACAGAGUGCUGCGAACUCGCGAGAGUAAGCGAAUCACUUAAAGUGCGUCGUAGUCCGGAUUGGAGUCUGCAACUCGACUCCAUGAAGUCGGAAUCGCUAGUA
rnacentral:rRNA from 1 species